GAUGAACGCUAGCGGCAGGCCUAACACAUGCAAGUCGAGGGGCAGCACAUAAAGUGGUUUACUACUUUUGGUGGCGACCGGCGGACGGGUGCGUAACGCGUGUGCAACCUGCCUCCAACAGGGCGAUAACGGAGAGAAAUUUCCAUUAAUACCCCAUAAUAUCAGAAUCGGCAUCGGUUUUGGUUGAAAACUCCGGUGGUUGGAGAUGGGCAUGCGUUGUAUUAGAUAGUUGGUGAGGUAACGGCUCACCAAGUCAACGAUACAUAGGGGGACUGAGAGGUUAGCCCCCCACACUGGUACUGAGACACGGACCAGACUCCUACGGGAGGCAGCAGUGAGGAAUAUUGGUCAAUGGGGGCAACCCUGAACCAGCCAUGCCGCGUGCAGGAAGACGGCUCUAUGAGUUGUAAACUGCUUUUACAAGGAGAUAAAUCGGUGUACGUGUACACCGUUGAAGGUACCUUGGGAAUAAGGAUCGGCUAACUCCGUGCCAGCAGCCGCCGUAA
rnacentral:rRNA from 1 species